rnacentral:lncRNA from 1 species
ACAAUGCAGAUGCUUUGAACCUUUGCACAACCGUGGGCAUGUGGCUCCCGUUAAAUAGCCACAAGAUACCCAUAAAAUUAGCACUUCCAAAGUUCUCAUUUACUCUGUCUUCCUCUCAAGUCUAACCGAAGCCCAACAAACCACCACCUCGGCCAUGGCAACCACCCUCGCCACCGACGUCCGCCUCUCCAUCGCGCACCAGACCCGCUUCGCCCUCCGUCUCGCCUCCACCAUCUCAUCCGCCCUAAGUCUGCUGCCAGCAAUGCCGCCUUCUCCCCGGUCUCCCUCCACUCCGCACUUAGCCUCCUCGACGCUGGCGCGGGCAGUGCCACUCGGGACCAACUCGUCGCCACACUCGGGACAGGCGAGGUCGAGGGACUCCACGCGCUCGCCGAGCAGGUGGUCCAGUUUGUGCUCGCCGACGCGUCCUCUGCUGGAGGUCCGCGUGUCGCCUUUGCCAAUGGCGUCUUCGUGGACGCGUCGCUGCUCCUCAAGCCAUCCUUCCAAGAGAUUGCAGUGUGCAAGUACAAGGCCGAGACCCAAUCCAUGGACUUCCAAACUAAGGUGACCCCCCCCCCCAACUUGGUUCUUACCAGAAAACAAAAACAAUGUAAAAGAAUUUUUAACGGACCUAAUUAUGUACAUUUGAGAGAAACAAUGACAUGCUUAACUAACUACUUCAGCCGCCUGUACAUGUUGGCAUGCCACUGCUUCACUCAGAGAGUUUGUUUUCUGCUGAUGUAAUAUAGAGGUCUAUAUUAAUCUUAUACACAUUCUAGAUUUGUAAUUUAGUGGUUAUCGUAUAUCACUGUUUUUUACACUAGAAGCUUCACCUUUGUAAGCAUAGUUCACACCUGCGACCUUGAACUGUGAAUGAUUUUGCUUAUCCUGUUAGUCAGCAUGAUUGGAGAUAACUAGUCUGUUACUUUUCUGAGCAUACCUAAUCUUUUGGGAGUGUAAUUCUCAUACCGUGCUAUCUAGGGAUAUGAAGGCUGGGGAAUUUGCUGAUGUUUUAUACUUUAAUUACGCUCUUCAGCGAAGUGAGAUUAUAAUUUUGGGAGUAUUUCCUGGAAACUUUGUCUCCAACGUAAGAAGAUGUACAAAAAAUCAGCUAAAGAUUAUAAUUUUGGGAAUAUUUCUGUAAAAGGUAUUGCAUAGUGGUGCUUCGAGAUGUUGUGAUGACCAUUUAAAUUUGUAUGCUCAUAUGAAUUGUUUUUCUAUCAUACGUCGUUGUAUGUGCUGAUUUUACUAUGUGUUUGAAAAUUUUACUAUAGAAAUGCUUUAUAAAAACGCUAGUAUGCUGCUUUGCAUUCUUAGCACAACUAUUAUAUUUUGUUCUUUGAAAGAAUUUUCUAUUGGUUUGUUCAAAGGUUGGUGGCACAGCAGUACCGUCAAACUAUUUUCAUUACAUAACUGACCUUUGUUUAUUUUUUCCAUGGCCCAGGCCGCUGAAGUUACUACUCAAGUGAACUCAUGGGUAGAGAAAGUCACGAGCGGUCGCAUCAAGGACAUUCUCCCCUCAGGAUCUAUUGACAAUACCACUAAACUUGUUCUUGCCAAUGCCCUUUAUUUCAAAGGAGCUUGGACAGAGCAGUUUGAUUCAUAUGGAACAAAAAACGACUACUUCUACCUUCUUGAUGGGAGCUCAGUUCAAACACCAUUCAUGUCCAGCAUGGAUGACCAAUACCUUUUGUCUUCUGAUGGGUUGAAGGUACUUAAGCUUCCUUACAAGCAAGGUGGGGACAAUAGGCAGUUCUCCAUGUAUAUCCUUCUUCCAGAAGCACCGGGUGGUCUCUCAAGCUUGGCCGAAAAAUUGAGUGCUGAACCAGACUUCCUGGAGCGGCAUAUCCCAAGGCAGAGGGUUGCACUUAGGCAAUUCAAGCUCCCCAAGUUCAAGAUAUCAUUUGGAAUUGAAGCAUCCGAUUUGCUCAAAUGUUUGGGCCUCCAGCUUCCAUUCGGCGAUGAAGCGGAUUUUUCGGAGAUGGUGGAUUCCCUAAUGCCACAAGGUCUUCGUGUCUCAUAUGUUUUCCACCAAGCGUUUGUGGAAGUGAACGAACAAGGAACUGAGGCUGCAGCAUCAACUACUAUUAAAAUGGUCCCGCAACAGGCAAGGCCGCCCUCGGUCAUGGAUUUCAUCGCGGAUCACCCUUUCCUCUUCCUUCUCCGGGAAGACAUCUCUGGUGUGGUCCUAUUCAUGGGUCAUGUGGUCAAUCCCCUCUUAUCUUCGUAAUGUGUUUGCUCUGAAAGUGUGUGUUGUCAGUUGCCCUCAGCCAUUACAUGUAAGGGAAGGGUUUCGACGGUCAGUCAUGUUACCGAUACAAUAAAUCCAAUAAAUGGUUCUCCUAAGAUAUCCAAUAAAUUGUCUUUUAAUAACUGCUUGCUUGUUGUGCAAAGGAAAACCAAUUGGACUAUUUUUCAUUAAUCAUUGUGGAUUUGUGGUAGUGCGGAUUUCUCAAAGAACUACUCAUGCCAAAAGAAAAAAUCUAAGUCAUCUUGAUUAGUACUAUCCGACAUGAAUCUCAUCGUCAUUAACAUCUAUAUUUCACAAAAAAAUGCCAAUGGCCACUUUUUGAGAUUGAAUAUGCUCUUCAAUUUCUCUUCUUCUUAGAUUUUUCAUAUCCUCGCUUAUCUUUAGAUACACUAUAACUCCUUGAGAUUGGAGCUCCCAGGGCCGAUUGUGUUGAUCGAUUUACAUGGCCCCACAUGAACGGACGUGACCUUCCACGCUACCCUCUUCCUUGCCGCAGAUCCUUCCUCAGUUUCUCUCCCUUCCGAGAAUCUAUUCCGACAUAGAGACAACGCCUCCAGCACUAUAGUUGGUGCGGCCGACCGCUUUCUGGCUCUCCUCUCCGAUUCCCUGCCUCAGAGCAUCUACAGCCUCAAACACGGUGUGUCUGCGGGCACUGAUCGGUCACUUCACAAAUUGGCAUCUACAUUCGUGUAUUUCAUAUCAGAUCUCCUAUAUCCAUACUAAACUAUGUAGCAUUGAUCAAACUACGUAUAUCAUCAAACGGACAAAAAAUGCACUAUACGUUCAUCAAAAGAUCAUCAACGGAUCUUCGAAAUACCGCCAAAGUUCACAUAGUGCACAUAAAUGACGGACAACUUUAAACUACGUCUAAAAACUGAGCGGAUCUUCAUCACUUCCUCGCCGGAACUUUCCCUUUUCGGUCGCCAGCACAGCUGUAGGCGUCGGCGGCUGGUGGAGGAUCGUCCGAGUCGUCGGACGAGGCGCCGUGGUCGUCACUAUCGUCAGAGGAGGAGCAGAGGAUGAUGAGGCGUUUGAGGCGCCGGACGGCCCGGUCCUGCUGCCGUUUGAGCUCCGCCAGCCGAGCCGCCUCCAAUGCUUUCUCCUCUGCCUCGCGCUCGAACUGCUCGAUGGCAAGCCGGAGCACCUUGGCGUUCUUCCAGCGGAGCUGCCGAUCAUCCGUCUCCGCUGUCGUAAGCGACCGGCAGUAGACCCAAGUGGGGAACCGCUCGUCCCCGUCGAGCUCCGCCGGAAACCCGCGGCGGCGGCGGACAUAUUACUCCUCCGCGUCCCUCUCCCUUGCCCGCUGCCUGCGGUGGCGGGCGUCGGACAGAUUUCUCCGCCGCGUCCCUCUUCCUUGCUCGCUGCCUGUCGUGGCGGGCGGCGCGCGCCUAGCGUGCAUGCCGCGCUCGCUGGGCGGGCACAAGUACCCACCGCUACCCAUGUGGGGGAGCAGCAGCCGACGAGGACAGGGGAUAGUGUGGGGGAGGCGCGGACUGCGCAGCCCUCGUGGCGCUGCGUGUGGGCCGGGAGGGGCCUGCGCCGGCGUCCUCGCUGCGCUGGAAGGGGAGAGGUGAGGCGGCAGAUCCGGAACUGACCUCCGUGUCCACCUUGGACCUCUCGACGGCAAUGCGGAGAGCCAGCACCUCGUCGAUGUUGACGUCAGAGUCGGAGCGGCUGCCGGAACUAGACAUGGUCGCCGGAGUCGUUUGACUGAAUCGAAUCUGGGAAAUCCGAGGAGGAGAAGAGAUGAAACGAGAGCGGAGCGAGGUAGGGUUUUCGAUUGGGGAUAUUUGUGGUGACGGCGUGGGGCCGGUGUGGACCGGGCUACCAUGGCGGACGCACCCGGGGCGCUCGAUAUCCGCCCUAGAUUUGAUCUGAAUAUGAGGGGAGUGAGACAGUCCAAGCAUUUGAGGCUUGUUUGAGGACACGUCUGGAUCAAAUUUUCAUGCUCGGUCAAUGAUCGCGCCAUCCGUCCGGACGUUUGAGACGGAUUUAGAAUGCGCGCCUGUAGAUGCUCUCGGCCUCAAUCUUUCGCCUCCAAACGUUCCCCCGCGACCAACCCAAUCCAGGCCUCGUUCACCGUCUAGCAGUCGUCUGCGCCGCCUCCCGCAAUUCCUCCGACCUCCGGUGCAACACUUCAUGUAACUUCCCUGGAUCAUCGCGCUUCCCGCGCCGUCUCGUCGACAGUCGACGUGCGCUUCUCAUGUUCAAUUUUUCAAGGAUAGUGUCACCGCUUUUUUCUCAUAGUGUUUGGCUGCUCGAUCACCUGGCCGCUGUUAAUCUCAUCUCGGUGAUGCAGCAAACAAAGGAGAGUGCGGGUCUGCAGUUCAAGGUCAGACUGCAGUGCAACUGUGCAAUGUAAGUUUGACUGACACGCUUGGAUCUGCCGCGUCUUUGUGCUGGGUGCUAGUCGCUGCCCUGCUAGAUGCAUGGAAGAGUUGCAUGUAUACACACCGGUGUUGAGCGUUGGUGGCCUCAUUGGUGACUGUCGUGGUUCUAAGUCUGACAAUAGAAUGGGGGGUAAGUAUGGAAAGGCAAGGUCCUAGCUAUGGAGUAGUUGUACACACGGGUGUUUAGCGAGUUUAGACCCUUCUCUGAGGAAGUAACAGCCCUACGUCUCGGAGCCCGGAGGCGGUCGACUGAUCUCUAUGUAUAUGAGUUACAGAAGUGCGAACCUUUCUACCAGUGGAGGGGGGUGGCUUAUAUAGAGGACGCCAGGACCCCAGCCAGCCCACAUAGAGGAGGGUUAAAGUACAUUAAGGCUGGGCGUUACUGGUAACGCCCUAUAUAAAGUGUCAUCAUGACCAUUAAGACUAUUUAAUUACAGACCGUUUGGAUGCAGAGUAGAUCCUGAACUUCCGAUAGUCGAGUGCGUCUUCAUGGUCGAGUGUCUUCUAGCUAGUCGGGUGGAGUCUCCCUUGGUAGAGUGGAGCUUCUUUUGGUCGACCGGAAGGUAGCUUCGUAUGAUAAUGUCCUUUGGCAUGGUAUCCUAGAUAGGUCCAUGACCCUAACCUAGGUACAUAACCUCAUCAUUAGCCCCCGAAUGGAUCGAGGUUCGAGUGAGGAAGGAGUUGACGAUUUUCUCCGACUUAUUUACUGUACUUUGAUUGUGUCGUAUCUUGGAUCGGCGAUUCUUCUUUCGGCGCUGGCGUCGACUUUUACUUCAGUCGCCUUGAUCCAUUCUUAUCUUUUGUCGAGUGAACUUUUGAACUCCGGUGAACUUACGAGCGACGGAUCGCGGGAAGGAUAUCGUCUGACAGAUUGAUCUGCUGUUAGCGGAUUUUGCGGGAUCUGAAAUUUGGGAAGCGCACGAAGCGGGGCAAUCCGCGGCAAUCGGGCGGGAUAAGGCAUGGACGCCUUGAUUUCCGCGUCGCCUUUUUCGCCACGUAUCGUACGUGUGCGACUGUUUCGGGAUGUGACAGAUCUGCUCGGACCCACUCGUCAGCCACUCGGAAGCGCCCUUAUAUAAAGCGUCGGGGAAGAGUUUUUGAACAGUGCCUCCCCAUUCUCCUCUCUUCCCUCUCUGCCUCCGCCCACGGCGCCUGCUCCUAGCUCCGCCUUAUCCACCUCUCGAGCGCUUCGCCGACGAUAAUGGUGAAGGAGAAGACGGCGGUUCUAGAGCGCGCGAAGAAGGUGACGGCGACGGGGCAAGCGAAGGGGAGACCGUCCAGUCGGGGCGGAUCUUCGUCGAGGUCCCGCCUGCCGAAGGGUUGGGUCCAAGGGGAUUGGAUCCGCUCGACCAUCACUGGGAAGGACCUCGACGACCUGGCCAAUGAGGGACUGAUCCCCCACGGGUCAGCAAGGCCCCCGGGGUCCGAGUGUCAACCGCAGCCGCAGGAGGGUGAGCGCGUUCUCUUAGCCACUCACGUAGAUCGUGGUUUUUCUCUGCCGCCGAGUGUGUUCUUCCGUGGGUUUCUGAAAUUCUUUGGGGCGCAACUCCACCAUUUCAAUCCCAAUUCCAUCGCCUAUCUUGCUGCCUUUGUGUCCAUGUGCGAGAACUUCCUGGGUUGUCGACCGCACUGGGGUCUCUUCAAGCACAUAUUCACCUGUCGGUCGCAGACCGUAAAAAAGGCGAGCUCGGGUGAUGAGAGGACCAAGGUUAUUCAGAUGUGCGGGGGUCUUGGGAUUCAGUUGAGGAAUAAGAGCACUUUCCCGGCCAUGACCCUUCCUGAGUCGGUCAGAGGGUGGCAGUCGACUUGAUUCUACUGCCAAGACGAGUCGACGCCGGGGCAGUCGACUGGUCUCCCUCCGUUCUCCAUGGACCGAGUGGUCAAACCGUCUUCUCUGAAGGUGCUUCCUGAGGAGAAAGCCGAGGUAAAAAUGUUGGUGGAGCGCAUGGUCCAACUCGUUCGGGACGGAGUGACGGGCAUGGAUCUUCUGAAAGUAUUCCUUAGGCGGCGCAUCCAACCGCUCCAGUAUCGAGGCCACCCGAUGUGGUUGUACUGCGGUACCGAAGACACCACUCGGGUCCAUCCAGAGGCAGUCGACGACGCCACGCUGGAGAGGUGGGUGACCUCCAUCACAGGGAACAAGGACAACCGUCGAGGAGUGAGGAGGAUCCCGCCACUCGACUGUACCUAUACGCCGGACAAGGUAUGGCCGCUUAUCUCCGAGUGUAAUUUUGUUUUAUCCAUUCUGCUUUGCCACAAAUUGGUCGAUUGAUCUUUGUUUUGCUCUGUUGUCUGAUAGGCCACCACUGAAUUGUACUCGAUUCCCAAUGGGGCGCAGACGCCGACUGAGGAGGAGGAAGGAAGCGGGGGCGAAAGCCCGGAGGAGUGGGAUUCAGAUGUCGACGACGACGAUGAGGGUGAUGACUCUAGUGAGGAGGAAGAAGAGGAGGAAGAGGAGGAAGUUGCACCUCCCCGCUCGGAAAGACGCUCGAAGCUUGCCCAUGAUCCAGCGACUGAGCGGGGUAAGGGGGUCGCAACCGCUUCUCAGUCGACCAAGCGCCCUCGGACCACUUCUCCGGCGCCGACUGAGAAGGCUCCGAAGCAAUCUCGAGUGGCACCGUCGAAGCCUGCAAAGGUCUUGCCGAAGAUGAAGAUGGUGAUCCCCACUAUCUCAGGGUAAUGGUAGUUUUGAGCUUUCCCUGUUUCAUGAACUUGUUCUUGGUCGACUCAUGGUCCAAUCGACUGACUUUUGGAACUGCAGCGUUGCUACUUCCGACACUUCGGCGAGAGCCGAAGACCACGAGAUGGAGGAUGCUGCAACCUCGAACCCUGGUAUGACUCCUGCGUUGCCGUUUUCAGUCGACUGACUCAUUGUCUCUAAUUUUUAUUCUUUCUGCAGUUUCAUCUAACAUUGUUAUUGACCUUCCUGACGACGACGAUGAAUAACCACCACGGCCGAGGAAAAGCAAGAAAACGUCGGCUGGCAAGGCGACUCAGGAUGUGCCGGCACCCGAGACGUUAGUCGUGGAGGGAGACAAUGUCACUCGACCCACCGUAACCUUCGCGGUGCCGUUGAUGAGUGCUCGCCCUUCAUCGUCGAGUGCUGCUCAACCCUCGCUUUUCUCCACCUACCCCGUUCCAGAAGACCAAGCCAGUGCUGCCAAAGAAGCGAUACGCCAGGCGGGGGUCAUGAUGGAGCAAGUGAAGGCAAUUCGAGAAGCCAGCCAGGCAGCCUAUGACGCCAGUUCGGCACUCCAGAGUAAUGUUCAGGUCAGUCGGUCACUGCCUGUUCUUCUUUCUGAAAUUCCUAGAGUCUGUCCUACACCCAGUGGGUGUGUGUCGAUUAAAAUUCCGGGUUAGUGGGGGCACGCUGAGUGCACCCACUGGGUGUAGUCCCCAAGGCUAUGGUGGACUGCUGGCAGUCGACCAUAGUCUUAAUGCUUUGAGUUUUUCUUUACUCGACAAGGUCGAAUAGAUUCAUAGACCGGUGGGGGCACGCUGAGUGCACCCACUGGGUGUAGUCCCCGAGACUGUGGUCGACUGCUGGCAGUUGACUAUAGUCUAAAGAACAUUGCCUCUCUUUUUUUUGUUGGUCGACUAGUCGACUCUUGAUGAAACUAGUGGGGGCACGCUGAGUGCACCCACUGGGUGUAGUCCCCGAGACUAUGGUCGAAUGUUUGCAUUCGACCGUAGUCUUAGAAACGCUAUGAUUUUUCCUUACUCACUCGGAAGUGAAUUUUCUUUGACGUCUGUCGAUUGAUUCUUCGUAGAAAUCAUGUGACCUUGUGGCUCGUUAUACUGAGUUGGAGAACAAACACAUUCAGCUCGAGCUCGAUCUGAAACUGGCCCAAGAGACCUUGACGAAGGCGAAGGAGGAAGCUAAAGGUAUGCUUGGUGAGGCCUUUGACGACUGCCUUUGCCUCUCACUUGUUUCCGAAUCUGAUCUCACUGUAACUUUGUAGGCAAAGUGAUGGACGCCCUGAAGAAACAAGAGCUUGACUUGGCUGAGAUGCAAAAGACUGCUUUAGAGAAGACCAGGCUAGCGGAUGAGAAGCUGGCUUCAGUGACUAAGCUUGAAGAAGAAAACACCAAUCUGAAAGCUGCUCUUGAUGCUGCCAACCAGGAGGUCACUUAACUGAAAAGCGACAAGACCACCCUGAAUGACAAGGCCAGUGAGUUGAAGAGAAAGAAGAAUGAUCUAGAGGCUUAUCUGGGUGGACUCGCCAAGAAGUUGUUCCUCAUGCUUGAAGGUAAUCCUUUGUAUCGAACAAAUAUUUUAAUUGUAACCUCUGACUGUUUGUCUUGACUCGGUGGUUGUGCUUGCAGAAUUUUGUCAGAACUUUGAAGAGGAGACUGGUCGACUGGAAGUGAACCUGGACCCCAUCAACUCUCCUGUGAAAGAUGAAGUUGCCAUGAACAUGCUCCGACUUGAAUCUCGUGUUGCUGCUAUCAUCGAUUAUCUCGCAAGGCUGAAGGUCGCAACUUCCUGCAUCGACACAACACUCUGGCCAAGAGAGACACUCCAGAACGACCUCGAGUCUCUGAUGACUCGACUGAACGAGGUCCCAAGUCGAGUGCAGGAGUGGAAGAAGUCUUCGGCCAGGUGUGGCGCGGAUGUUGCUCUAUCUCUGGUCCGCGUUCACUGCAAGGAUGCAUGAGAGGACAAGCUGGUGGCUCUCAGGGUGGCCAACACCAAGAAGCACGAUUUCAGAUCCUUCAUGGAGACCUUCAUUGCCGCUGCCACUCGGAUUGCAGAUGGAAUCGAUCUGGACGAGUUUGUGGCACCUUCCAGCCCUCCACAGGAGGGGUAAAAAACUUUUGAGCUUGAUACUUUAAAUUUGCCUCGGUAUGCCGAGUGAGUUUUGUAACCGACAAACCUUAACAGGCCUAGCGCCUGAGCACUUUCGGUUCCGCUAGGUGUUAUCCAAACUUGGGUUCGUCGCUGAAUAUGUUUGCAUUUGGUUUGAGGCGUCUUUUGCAGGUUAAAGCGAAGCGCUUAUUGCCAUCGACUUGUCCCCCAAUUCACUUAGGCGGGCACUGGGCUGCAGCUAAGUCCCCGAGCGAGAGGUUUUCCCUCCACUCGGUAGGAUUUCAGACACUUAGGCGAGCACUGGGCCGCAGCUAAGCCCCCGAGUGGGAGGUCUGCUCUCCACUCGGUAGGAUUUCAGAAACUUAGGCGAGCACUGGGCUGCAGCUAAGCCCCCGAGUGGGAGGUCUGCUCUCCACUCAGUAGGAUUUCAAACACUUAGGCGAGCACUGGGCUGCAGCUAAGCCCCCGAGUGGGAGGUCUGCUCUCCACUCGGUAGGAUUUCAGACACUUAGGCGAGCACUGGGCUGCAGCUAAGCCCCCGAGUGGGAGGUCUACUCUCCACUCGGUAGGAUUUCAGACNNNNNNNNNNNNNNNNNNNNNNNNNNNNNNNNNNNNNNNNNNNNNNNNNNNNNNNNNNNNNNNNNNNNNNNNNNNNNNNNNNNNNNNNNNNNNNNNNNNNNNNNNNNNNNNNNNNNNNNNNNNNNNNNNNNNNNNNNNNNNNNNNNNNNNNNNNNNNNNNNNNNNNNNNNNNNNNNNNNNNNNNNNNNNNNNNNNNNNNNNNNNNNNNNNNNNNNNNNNNNNNNNNNNNNNNNNNNNNNNNNNNNNNNNNNNNNNNNNNNNNNNNNNNNNNNNNNNNNNNNNNNNNNNNNNNNNNNNNNNNNNNNNNNNNNNNNNNNNNNNNNNNNNNNNNNNNNNNNNNNNNNNNNNNNNNNNNNNNNNNNNNNNNNNNNNNNNNNNNNNNNNNNNNNNNNNNNNNNNNUAAGCCCCCGAGUGGGAGGUCUGCUCUCCACUCGGUAGGAUUUCAGACACUUAGGCGAGCACUGGGCUGCAGCUAAGCCCCCGAGUGGGAGGUCUGCUCUCCACUCGGUAGGAUUUCAGAAACUUAGGCGAGCACUGGGCUGCAGCUAAGCCCCCGAGUGGGAGGUCUGCUCUCCACUCGGUAGGAUUUCAAACACUUAGGCGAGCACUGGGCUGCAGCUAAGCCCCCGAGUGGGAGGUCUGCUCUCCACUCGGUAGGAUUUUUGAAUUGGUGGCGCAACUCGGAAGGAGAGGGUAGCAGUCGACCUGCACCUCGUCCUCCUUGCGGAACGCAUGUUGUACUUGUACUUAGGCGAGUUCUUGGACUGCAGCUAGGCCUCCGAGUGGAAGGCUGGCUUACCACUCGGUAGGAUUUUAUUUAUCUUAGGCGAGUACUUGGACUGCAGCUAAGCCUCCGAGUGGAAGGCUGGCUUACCACUCGGUAGGAUUUUAUUUAUCUUAGGCGAGUACUUGGACUGCAGCUAAGCCUCCGAGUGGAAGGCUGGCUUACCACUCGGUAGGAUUUUAUUUAUCUUAGGCGAGUACUUGGACUGCAGCUAAGCCUCCGAGUGGAAGGCUGGCUUACCACUCAGUAGGAUUUUAUUUAUCUUAGGCGAAACGGAUUUUACAGCUAAGCCUUCGUGUGGGAGACUGACUCACCACUCGGUUAGGAUUUGUUUUUACAGACUUAGGCGAAUCGGAUUCGCAGCUAAGCCACCCACUGGGGGAUUGUUUUAUAUGGACAAAAGUAAUAACAAUCACUGGGAAAACUAUAAAGCUCUUGUCUUUGAUAAAUAAACUACAGGAGUACUUUUAUUACAACUCAUCCGAGUGAAUACCUAAGUGUAAAAGGGGCGGAGAAGCUCCGCGUUCCAAGCUCGGGGCUCGUCAAUCUGAUGCUUGACAUUGUAAAGACGGUAUGCUCCAUUGUGGAGAACCUUGGUGACCAUGAAGGGACCUUCCCAAGAAGGAGCAAGCUUGUGUGGUUUCUGCUGGUCCACUCGGAGAACUAAAUCUCCUUCCUGGAAGGCUCGACUCUUCAUGUUUUUGGCGUGGAAGCGACGCAAGUCUUGUUGAUAAAUGGUCGAUCUGAUCAGAGCCAUCUCUCUUUCUUCCUCUAAAAGGUCGACUGCGUCCUGCCGCGCUUGUUCUGCUUCAGCUUCGGUGUAGAGCUCGACUCGGGGAGCGUUGUGGAGAAGAUCACUCGGCAAGACUGCUUCAGCUCCGUAGACCAAGAAGAAUGGAGUUCUUCCAGUCGACCGGUUGGGUGUGGUCCUUAACCCCCAAAGCACCGAGGGAAGUUCGUCAACCCAUGCACCAGCCGCAUGCUUGAGAUCACGCAUCAAACGGGGCUUCAACCCUUUGAGAAUUAAACCGUUGGCUCAUUCUGCCUGUCCAUUCGUCUGCGGAUGGGCAACUGAAGCAUAGUCGACUCGCGUGCCUUGAGACGUGCAGAAAGCUCUGAAUUCUUCAGAAUCGAAGUUUGACCCGUUAUCAGUGAUGAUGUUGUGCGGGACUCCAUAUCUAAAUAUCAGUUCUCGGAUGAAGCUGACAGCGGUACCAGCAUCGAGGUUCUUGAUGGGUUUGGCCUUAAUCCACUUGGUAAACUUGUCGACUGCUACCAGCACAUGUGUGAAACCGCUUCUUCCUGUUCUCAAUGGGCCAACCAUAUCCAAACCCCAUACAACAAAGGGCCAGACAAGUGGUAUGGUCUUUAAGGCUGAGGCAGGCUUGUGUGACAUAUUGGAGUAAAAUUGACAUCCCUCACACUUGUCGACUAUCUCCUUCGCCAUUUCAUUCGCUCUGGGCCAAUAAAAACCAGCUCGGUAUGCUUUGGCCACGAUGGUCCGAGAAGACGCAUGAUGGCCACAGGUCCCCGAGUGGAUGUCAUUGAGAAUCAUUCGACCUUCCUCCGGUGUUAUGCAUUUCUGGCUGACUCCAGUCGCACUUUCUCUGUACAACUGACCUCUCAUGACGGUGAAGGCUUUGGACCGGCGGACGAUCUCUCGAGCUUCUUCUUCAUUCUCGGGGAGUUCCUUCCUCAAAAUAUAGGCGAUGUAGGGCACUGUCCAAUCGGGAGUGAUGACCAAAACUUCCAUGAUCAAGUCGACCACCGCUGGGACCUCGACUUCAGUCGGAUCUGUGGCGCUUUUAGGCUGCGGGGCUUCUGCAGUGAAAGGAUCCUCUUGAACCGAUGGCGUGUAGACAUGUUCCAAAAACACGCCACUCGGAAUGGCUUCCCUCUUGGAACCUAUCUUUGCCAAGUCAUCGGCUGCUUGAUUUUUCAGUCGGGGAACGUGAUGGAGUUCUAACCCUUCGAAUUUCUUUUCAAGCUUCCUCACUGCAUUGCAGUAUCUAGUCAUGGAUGGGCUUCUCACGUCCCACUCCUUCAUCACCUGAUUGACCACCAAAUCUGAGUCGCCGUAAACCAUAAGGCGACGGACGCUGAGUGAAAUGUCCAUGCGCAACCCAUACAACAGUGCUUCAUAUUCUGCUUCAUUGUUGGAGGAAUCAAAGUGGAUCUGGAGCACAUAUCUGAGCUUAUCUCCUCGGGGAGAAACCAAAACUACCCCAGCACCAGAACCAUUUAACAUCUUAGAGCCAUCAAAGAACAUGGUCCAAUGCUCCGAGUGAACUUGAGUCGGCUGCUGCUGUUCAAUCCACUCGGCAAGGAAAUCUGCUAUAGCCUGGGACUUAAUGGCUUUCUUUGCCUCGAAUUUGAUAUCAAGGGGAAGGAGUUCAAUCGCCCAUUUAGCCACUCGACCAGUUGCAUCUCUGUUGUGCAGAAUCUCCGACAAUGGUGCGUCGCUGACGACUAUAAUGUCAUGAUCAGAGAAAUAAUGAGCAACCUUCUUCAUGGUCAUGUAGAUCCCAUAUACGAGCUUCUGAUAAUGAGGAUAUCUUUGCUUCGAUCGGGUCAAAACUUUAGAGAGAUAAUACACUGGGCGCUGAACUUUGAAGGCUUUCCCUUCUACUUCCCGCUCGACCGUAAGUAUUGUACUGACGACUUGUCCUGUGGCUGCAAUAUAAAGCAACAGUGGCUCUUUACUGAUUGGAGCGGCAAGCACCGGCUAGGUGGAGAGCAGAGUUUUUAACUCGGCAAACGCUGCAUCAGCUUUUGGAGUCCACUCGAACUUGUCUGCCUUCUUCAUCAGUCGGUAAAGGGGCAACGCCUUUUCACCGAGGCGAGAGAUGAAUCGACUUAACGCGGCCAGGCAUCCAGUAAGCUUCUGGACAUCGUGCACACGCACAGGGCGUUUCAUUCGGAGUAUGGUGCCAACUUUUUCUGGGUUAGCAUCGAUUCCUCGUUCCGAAACGAGAAAACCGAGUAACUUCCCACCAGGUACUCCGAAUGUGCACUUUGAAGGAUUGAGCUUGAUAUCAUACCUCCUGAGAUUGGCAAAUGUUUCAGCUAAGUUAGUCAACAGGUCGGAACCCUUUCGCGACUUGACCACGAUAUCAUCCAUGUAUGCUUCCACAUUCCAACUAAUUUGAGUGAGUAAACACUUUUGAAUCAUUCUCAUGAAUGUGGCUCCGGCAUUCUUGAGGCCGAAAGGCAUGGUGAUAUAGCAGAAGCACCCGAAUGGGGUGAUGAAAGCUGUUUUGAUUUCAUCGGGCCCAUACAGACGGAUCUGAUGAUACCCGGAAUAAGCGUCCAGAAAAGACAAUCUCUCGCACCCUGCGGUCGAGUCGACAAUUUGGUCGACGCGAGGGAGAGGAAAAUGAUCUUUCGGGUAGGCCUGAUUGAUAUGUUUGAAAUCAAUGCACAUACGAAGGGAAUUGUCCUUUUUGCGAACCAUAACGACAUUGGCGAGCCACUCGGAGUGGUAUAUCUCUCGGAUGAACUCUGCUGCAAGGAGUCGAGCCACCUCUUCGCCAAUGGCUUUUUUGUUCUGAACAGCGGACCGUCGAAGAUGUUCUUUAACGAGUUUUGCCUUUGAAUCGACUCUAAGGCGAUGCUCAGCCAGUCCCCUGGGAACACCUGGCAUGUCAGCUGGCUUCCAUGCGAAGAUGUCCCAGUUCUCACGGAGGAACUGGAUGAGCGCUUCUUCCUAUUUAGAGUCGGGUGUAGUGGAAAUAUGGGUCGGAGCUGCAUUGGGGUCAGUCGGGUGGAUGUGAACUGGCUUCGUCUCACCGGACGACUGAAAUGCUGACUCUGUGGCGGGCUUCUUGGCUCGCAGUAAAUCACUCGGAUCUGCGUUCUUCUUGUACCCCUCUAGCUCUAUCACUGUUAUCUGGUCAUCCGCAAUCUUUGAGCCUUUCUGGAAACACUCUUCUGCUUUCUUCCGGUUACCAGUGACGGUGAUCACGCCUUUGGGGCCAGGCAUCUUUAACUUGAGGUACACGUAACAUGGUCGAUCCAUGAAGCGGGCGUAGGCUGGUCUUCCCAAGAUAGUGUGGUAGGCGCUCUGGAAAUCCACGAUUUCAAAUGUCAGCUUCUCUUUGCGGAAAUGCUUCGAGUCACCGAACACCACAUCCAGAGCUAUUUGGCCGAGUGACUCAGCCUUCUUUCCUGGGAUGACUCCGUGAAAACUCAUGUUGCUGGAACUGAGCCUGGACAUCGGAAUGCCCAUUCCCUUGAGCGUCUCUGCAUAUAGUAUGUUCAACCCGCUGCCGCCAUUCAUCAAUACCUUCGUCAGUCGAGUGCCUUCGACGACCGGGUCGGCCACCAGUGCUUGCCUCCCAGGGGUGGCAAUAUGAGUAGGAUGGUCCGACUGGUCGAAAGUAAUGGGAGUUUGCGACCAUCUCAGAUAGUUUGGUGUUGCUGGUGCGACCAUAUUGACUUCACGGUUGAUCACUUUCAGUCGACUUUUGCUCUCUACAUCAGCAAAAAUCAUCAGAGUGAAGUUGACAUGAGGGUACUCACCAUCACUGUCCUGCUUGUCCUCAGCCUUGUCUGACUCCUUCUCUUUGUCCUUCAGCUGUUUCCCUUGGAACUGCUGGAUUAAGAGCCGGCACUGGCGAGUGGUAUGCUUUGGGUAGAUGAAGUUACCCUCUUCGUCUUUCUUCGUGUGGAUAUGACACGGCAGGUCCAUCACAUCAUUACCCUCCUUAUCUUUUACCUUCUUGGGGUUCCAAGAUCCUUUGGGCUUCCCUUUAAAUUUGCCCUGUGUCACGGCUAGAGCCUCUCCAGGAGCUGCUGGCUCGGCCUUCCGCUUCUGCUUCCGACUGGAGUUUCCUUUAUCCGACUAACUCGGCUUGUACUUGCCGCUCCGGAGUCGGUCCUCUUCUUCGCCGUUGGCGUACUUGGUGGCUAUUUCCAUCAUCCGACUCAGGGUCAUGUCUCCAGUUCGACCAAACUUCAGGCUCAACUCUUUGUUCUUGACGCCAUCUUUGAAGGCGCAAACCGCUUGAUGGUCCGACACAUUCUCUACAGUGUGAUGCAAAGUGAUCCACCUCUGGAUGUAAUCCCUCAGUGUUUCACUCGACUUUUGUACACAAACUUGUAGCUCAGUUAAUCCAGCAGGUCGCUUGCAAGUUCCCUCAAACGUCCUGACGAACACUCGAGAAAGAUCUACCCAGGUGUAAAUGUUGCUGGGAGCUAACUGAUUCAACCAUGCCCUGGCUGAACCUCCUAGAAUAAGUGGCAAAUGUUUCAUGGCCACCUCAUCAUUACCGCCACCAAUCUGAACAGCCACUCGGUAGUCUUCGAGCCAAGUUUCAGGCUUAGACUCUCCGGUGAACUUAUUCACCCCAUUCGCCAACCUGAAGUUGGGGGGUAUCACUGCGGUUCUGAUCGCUCUGCGAAAACAUUCUGGACCUGAAACAUGGACUCGGCUGCUUGUGGGCACAUCUCUGUCAUGACCACCUCUAUGAGCUCUGUUUCAGUCGACCAAACCUUGCACGAUGAUGGAUCUCGCGUCAAAGCCUGGCUCUCUGGGGUCGACUGGAGCUCUCUGCCCAACACUGAGCUGGCUUCUAUCAUCUUGCUGCCGAUGGGCGUUAGACCCACUUCUCGGAGGAGGAGUGGGCACUCGACGCCUGUCAUCACGAUCAAAUCGAUCAUCAUAGUGGUCCCGCCGGCCUUCACGUCCCACGCGCCUCGGAGGCGACCUUGGACUGUCAGCUGACUGAAUAGUAUUCGCAGCAACAGAUCGACUGUGAAUCCUGUUAGGUGACUGUGACACAGCUGAAUUCUGAUCUCCUGCUGCCCGGAGCAAAUCUCUGAUCUGCAUCAAGCCUCUUCCAGCCUCUGACUGAGAGGGCUGAAUUGACUCUGCUAUGCGGGCUGCAGCUGCCAAAUUCUGAAUUGGGGUUCGAUAUACCUGAGUUGGUUGCGGAAAGAGCUGACGUCGAUUGGAGUUAGUCGCUCGUUGACGCGCAUGCUCGUCGAGUGCUCGCUGAAGGUUCUCCAGUCGAGUGUGUUCAGCCAGGUUGGCUAAACGCGCCUCUUCCAGGGCACGAGCCUCAGGAGUUUCUCCUGCAAUGGGAGUAUGCAGGGCAUCCAUGUUCUGGCGGCGAAGUUCUUCCCUCUGCUGGGAAGUGAGCGGCUCGGGUUGGUACUCUUCAUGGGCUUGAGCAGGGUCAUCCUCGUCGUCCAUCCCGUCGCCACGGGGGAAACCGGGAGGACUACGGGGCCCAUUGACCAUCAGGACCUCCGCCGUCGGAUCACUGCUAUCGCACUCGGAUGCAGCCUCUACAGAGCCAGUCGACAGGUCGAAUAGGCCGUAGAGAGAUCCGUCAGGCUCAAUCGCCGCGACUUGGGUGGUGGCCGAUUGGCGAGCCACUGCGUGUCUCACCCAUCGCUGGAGCCUCAACCGACCGGAGCGCUUGCGCUGGCGGGAGACAGGGAGGGAGGACGGCGCAGGAGUCGACCGGUAUGGGGUCGACGGCUGCCGCAGCAAGACGCUGCGGACACACACCCGAAAGUGCAUCGCCCCGCGGACGGGGAGCGCUCCGAUGUCGAGUGGUGCCUCCUGGAGCCAAGCGGAGUCGUCGGCGAUGAAAGUGAGCGCACCGAGACGGAUCUCGUGGCCCUCGACCAGAGCUCUGCCAGAAACCAUGAUGAAGGCGAUCGGACAAAUUGCAACUUCUCCAAAAAAGUCGCUAAGACACCUGCCCCACGGUGGGCGCCAACUGUCGUGGUUCUAAGUCUGACAGUAGAAUGGGGGGUAAGUAUGGAAAGGCAAGGUCCUAGCUAUGGAGUAGUUGUACACACGGGUGUUUAGCGAGUUCAGGCCCUUCUCUGAGGAAGUAACAGCCCUACGUCUCGGAGCCCGGAGGCGGUCGACUGAUCUCUGUGUAUAUGAGUUACAGGGGUGCGAAACUUUCUACCAGUGGAGGGGGGUGGCUUAUAUAGAGGACGCCAGGACCCCAGCCAGCCCACGUAGGGGGGGUAAAAGUACAUUAAGGCUGGGCGUUAUUGGUAACGCCCUACAUAAAGUGUCAUCAUGACCAUUAAGACUAUUUAAUUACAAACCGUUUGGAUGCAGAGUAGAUCCUGAACUUCCGAUAGUCGAGUGCGUCUUCAUGGUCGAGUGUCUUCUAGCCGGUCGAGUGGAGUCUCCCUUGGUCGAGUGGAGCUUCUUUUGGUCGACUGGAAGGUAGCUUCAUAUGAUAAUGUCCUUGGGCAUGGUAUCCUAGAUAGGUCCAUGACCCUACCCUAGGUACAUAACCUCAUCAGUGACCCCGUGGACGAAAAAGGUCUGAACAUUUUUCUGAUUUGCACACACCCUGUCGAUCCUGGACACACCAGAAAAGGCCAAUCUUUUUUAUUUAGCUGCCUAUGUUUUUACACAAAACUAUGAAGAACAUAGAGGGCAGCUUUGGGUCACGGAAAAAACUUAUACUGUGUGCAAAAGAAAUCAUGAUUUCAGCAGCACUGAAUAUGUACAGCAAAGGUCGAAACAAUUUAUCAAAAAAUGUGUCUGUGUUUCAUUCUUCCGCAAUACAAUAAGAAGUCCACCACUAAAGCUUUUUCCUCCUCCACAAGUAAAGUCCCUUAUCCUCCGGUCGGCGUCGCCGUCGGUCCGCCCCAUCUCUGAUGGCCUCUGGGCCAUGGAGUCGCCGAGGAUCCCAGCCCUUGUUCUCCUCCUUGUUAGAUUUAGCGUCUUGGUUGGGGUUGGGUGGAGGCGGCGAUGUCCCUUAAUAGGAAUAAUGUAUGAUUGGUUAUCUUUGUAAGUAUCUUCGAGUUAUCAGUUUGGUUUGGCCUACUAGAUUUAUCUUUCUUGCAAUGUUAGAAGUGCUUAGCUUUGGGUUCAAUCUUGCGGUGUCCUUUCCCAGUGACAGCAGGGGCAGCAAGGCACGUAUUGUAUUGUUGUCAUCGAGGAUAAAAAGAUGGGGUUUAUAUCAUAUUGCUUGAGUUUAUCCCUCUACAUCAUGUCAUCUUGCCUAAUGUGUUACUUUGUUCUUAUGAAUUUAAUACUCUAUAUGCAAGCUGGAUAGCGGUCAAUGUGUGGAGUAAUAGUAGUAAAUGCAGGCACGAGUCGGUCUACUUGUCGUGGACGUGAUGCCUUGAUACGUCUCCAACGUAUCUAUAAUUUUUUAUUGUUCCAUGCUAUUAUAUUACCCGUUUUGGAUGUUUAUGGACUUUACUUUACACUUUUAUAUUAUUUUUGGGACUAACCUACUAACCGGAGACCCAACCCGUAUUGCUGUUUUUUUUGCCUAUUUCAGUGUUUUGAAGAAAAGGAAUAUCAAACAGAGUCCAAACGGAAUGAAACCUUCAGGAGCGUGAGUUUUGGAACAAACGUGAUCCAAGGGACUUGGAGUGCAAGUCAAGAAGCAAUCGAGGCGGCCACCAGGGUGGAGGGCGCCCCCUAUCUCGUGGGCCCCUCGGGCGUCCACCGACCUACUUCUUCCUCCUAUAUAUACCCACGUACCACGAGAACAUCAAAGGCGACCACGAAAAACUAUUUCCACCACCGUAACCUUCUGUAUUCACGAGAUCCCAUCUUGGAGCCUUCGUCAUUGCUCCAUCGGAGAGGGAAUCAACCAUGGAGGGCUUCUACAUCAACACCAUAGCCUCUCCAAUUAGUUGUGAGUAGUUUACCACAGACCUUCGGGUCCAUAGUUAUUAGCUAGAUGGCUUCUUCUCUCUCUUUGAAUCUCAAUAUCAUGUUCUCCUCGAUCUUCUUGGAGAUCUAUACGGUGUAACUCUUUUUGCGAUGUGUUUGUCUCGAUCCGAUGAAUUGUGGGUUUAUGAUCAAGUUUAUCUAUGAGAAAUAUUUGAAUCUCCUCUGAAUUCUUUUAUGUGUGAUUAAGUUAUCUUUGCAAGUCUCUUCAAAUUAUCAGUUUGGUUUGGCCUACUAGAUUGAUCUUUCUUGCAAUGGGAGAAGUUCUUAGCUUUGGGUUCAAUCUUGCGGUGUCCUUUCCCAGUGACAGCAGGGGCAGCAAGGCAUGUAUUGUAUUGUUGUCAUCGAGGAUAAAAAGAUGGGGUUCAUAUCAUAUUGCAUGAGUUUAUCCCUCUACAUCAUGUCAUCUUUCUUAAUGCGUUACUCUGUUAUUUAUGAACUUAAUACUCUAGAUGCAUGCUGGAUAGCGGUCGAUGUGUGGAGUAAUAGUAGUAGAUGCAGGCAGGAGUCGGUCUACUUGUUAUGGACGUGAUGCCUAUAUACAUGAUCAUGCCUAGAUAAUCUCAUAAUUAUUUGCUUUUCUAUCAAUUGCUCGACAGUAAUUUGUUCACCCACCGUAAUACUUAUGCUAUCUUGAGAGAAGCCACUAGUGAAACCUAUGGCCCCCGGGUCUAUCUUUUAUCAUAUAAGCUUUCAAUCUACUUUUAUUUGCAUCUUUACUUUUCCAAUCUAUAUUAUAAAAUACCAAAAAUAUAUUUAUCUUAUCAUACUAUCUCUAUCAGAUCUCACUUUCGUAAGUGGCCGUGAAGGGAUUGACAACCCCGUUAUUGCGUUGGUUGCGAGUUCUUGUUUGUUUGUGUAGGUGCGUCGGACUUUUGAGGAGCCUCCUACUGGAUUGAUACCUUGGUUCUCAAAAACUGAGGGAAAUACUUACGCUACUAUUGUUGCAUCACCCUUUCCUCUUCAAAGAAAACCAACGCAAGCUCAAGACGUAGCAUGCCUAUAUACAUGAUCAUGCCUAGAUAUUCUCAUAACUAUGCACUUUUCUAUCAACUGCUCGACAGUAAUUUGUUCACCCGCCGUAAUAUUUAUGCUAUCUUGAGAGAAGCCACUAGUGAAACCUAUGGCCCCGGGUCUAUUUUCCAUCAUAUAAGUUUCCGAUCUACUUUAUUUAGCAAUCUUUACUUUUCAAUCUAUAUCAUAAAAAUACCAAAAAUAUUUAUCUUAUUAUUAUCUCUAUCAUAUCUCACUUUCGCAAGUGGCCGUGAAAAGAUUGACAACCCCUUUAUCGCGUUGGUUGCGAGGUUCUUGUUUGUUUAUGUAGGUACGAGGGACUUGCGUGUAGCCUCCUACUGGAUUGAUACCUUGGUUUUCAAAAGUUGAGGGAAAUACUUACGCUACUUUGCUGCAUCACCCUUUCCCGCUUCAAGGGAAAACCAACGCAGUGCUCAAGAGGUAGCAAGAAGGAUUUCUGGCGCCGUUGCCGGGGAGGUCUACGCACAAGUCAAGACAUACCAAGUACCCAUCACAAACUCUUCUCCUCGCAUUACAUUAUUUUCCAUUUGCCUCUUGUUUUCCUUUCCCCCACUUCACCCUUGCCGUUUUAUUCGCGCUCCCUUUCCCGUUCGCCUCUUUUUCCGCUUGCUUCUUGUGGUACUUGCUUUCACUAUGUCUGAAACUGGGGAGGUUAUCAUUGAUAAGGACAAUAGUAAUAACAUGGGAAACUUUGAUGCUUUUGAUGAUCCUACUGAAGAAACCACUAUCUUACAUACUAAAAGAUUUCGAAUCGGUAGUGGUAAUAUUAUUGGAAAAGGGGUUAUUCAAGAUUCUUUACUUGUGUUGGUGCUUUACCUUCUAUGGGUGGAUCUAUUCUUCAUAGAACUAGUAGUCUUGCGGAUGCUAUAUCCUUGCUUAUAGUUGAACUUGAAAGACAGUUUAUGCAUAUGCAUCCUUGCAUACAAAGGAUUUUUCUAGAAUUUUCCAAUAUUGAGCAUUCUUCUGUUAAGCGCGCAGCUACUAUCUUUUUGGCACAUGAGUUCAGAUUUAUAAUAAAAGAAGCCAGAGAAAUCUUUGCGCACUAUAGGGUGGACGCUGGUCGCCCUCCCAUUUAGGCGAUCCUUUUUAAUCAAGAAGACAUAAUGCGUUUACAAUCCUUAGAUCGUGUUGCUUUUAAUGAAAACCUUAGGAAAAAGGUUCCUACCGAUGUUCUAGUUGAUAGAAUCUCUGAACUUAAUGAUGAUUUUGCUAUUCAUAACAAUGGGUUGGGAUUUUCUCUUGAGCAAAGGCUCAUGACUUUUUGCCAAAAGAAUGCUUAUAAUGAUGAAUUGGUUGUGUAAUAUGAAGGGCCAAAGGAGGAACCCAUACCUCCCGAGCUUGAUCUUGGGGACUUUUGUCCCAUUAAAUUUAGCCCUUUUGAUUACUUUUGCUUGCCACAAAGAAAACUUGUUGUUGAACGUAGGGAAUAUGAGAUGAGUUUUCGUGAUUUACCUUAUCAUUACGGCAAUAAUUAGAUCUAUUCUCGCUUUUAUGCCUAGCUAGGGGCGUUAAACGAUAGCGCUUGUUGGGAGGCAACCCAAUUUUAUUUUUGUUCUUUACUUUUUGCUCCUGUUUAGUAUUAAAUAAUUCAUCUAGCCUCUGGUUAGAUGUGGUUUUAUGUUUUAGUUAGUGUUUGUGCCAAAUAGAACCUAUAGGAUCAUCUUGGGUGAUAGUUAAUUUGAUCUUGCUAAAAAACAGAAACUUUUGCGCACACGAGAAUAAUUUUAAUAAAUCACAGAAACAUGAUUUUGAGUUGAUUAUUUUUUAAGAAGAUUAAUAGACAAAUUUACUAGGACUUCCUAUUUUCGUAGGACUUUUAAGGUUCUAGAAGUAUUCGAAAGUUACAGAUUACUACAGACUGUUCUGUUUUUGACAGAUUCUGUUUUUUGUGUGUUGUUUGCUUAUUUUGAUGAAUCUAUGGCUAGUAUCGGGGGGUAUGAACCAUAGAUAAGUUGGAAUACUGCAGGUUUAACACCAAUAUAAAUAAAGAAUGAUUUCAUUACAGUACCUUAAAGUGGUGGUUUGCUUUUUUGCACUAACGGAGCUCAUGAGAUUUUUUGUUGAGUUUUGUGUUGUGAAGUUUUCAAGUUUUGGGUAAAGAUUUGAUGGAUUAUGGAAUAAGGAGUGGCAAGAGCCUAAGCUUGGGUAUGCUCAAGGCACCCCAAGAUAAAUUCAAGGACAACCAAAAGCCUAAGCUUGGGGAUGCCCCGGAAGGCAUCCCCUUGUCUUCAUCUAUCAGUAACUUUACUUGGAGCUAUAUUUUUAUUCACCACAUGAUAUGUGUUUUGCUUGGAGCGUCUUGAAUGAUAUGAGUCUUUGAUUUUUAGUUUACCACAAUCAUCCUUGCUGUACACACAUUUUGGGAGAGACACACAUGAAUCGGAAUUUAUUAGAAUACUCUAUGUGCUUCACUUAUAUCUUUUGAGCUAGAUAAUUUUGCUCUAGUGCUUCACUUAUAUCUUUUUAGAGCACGGCGGUGGUUUUAUUUUGUAGAAAUUAUUGAUCUCUCAUGCUUCACUUAUAUUAUUUUGAGAGUCUUUUAGAACAGCAUGGUAUUUGCUUUGGUUAUAAAAUUAGUCCUAAUAUGAUGGGCAUCCAAGUUGGGUAUAAUAAAAAUUGUCAUAGAAAGUGCAUGAAACACUAUAAGAAAUUUGAUACUUGAUAAUUGUUUUGAGAUAUAAAGGUGGUAAUGUUAGAGUCAUGCUAGUUGGGUAAUUAUGAAAUUGAGAAAUACUUGUGUUAAAGUUGGCAAGUCCCGUAGCAUGCACGUAUGGUAAACGUUGUGUGACAAAUGUGUUGCACGGGGUGUUCUUUUGAUUGCCUUCCUUAUGUGUGGAGGUCGGGAUCGCGCGAUGGUUAACUCCUACCAACCCUUCCCCUAGGAGCAUGCGUAGUAGUACUUUGCUUCGAGGGCUAAUAAACUUUUGCAAUAAGUAUAUGAGUUCUUUAUGACUAAUGUGAGCCCAUGGAUUAUACGCACUCUCACCCUUCCACCAUUGCUAGCCUCUCUUGUGCCGCGCAACUUUCGCCAGUAUCAUACACCCACCAUUUACCUUCCUCAAAACAGCCACCAUACCUACCUAUUAUGGAAUUUCUAUAGCCAUUCCAAGAUAUAUUGCCAUGCAACUCUCCACCGUUCCGUUUAUUAUGACACGCUCCAUCAUUGUCAUAUUGCUUUUGCAUGAUCAUGUAGUUGACAUCGUAUUUGUGGCAAAGCUACCGUUAUAAUUCUUUCAUACAUGUCACUCUUGAUUCAUUGCAUAUCCUGGUACACCGCUGGAGGCAUUCACAUAGAGUCAUAUUUUGUUCUAAGUAUUGACUUGUAAUUCUUGAGUUGUAAAUCAAUAAAAGUGUGAUGAUCUUCAUUAUUAGAGCAUUGUCCCAAGUGAGGAAAGGAUGAUGGAGACUAUGAUUCCCCCACAAGUCACUAUGAGACUCCGGACCUCAUGAUAAAUAAAAGAGGCCAAAGAAGCCCAAAUAAAAAAGAGAGGCCAAAGAAGCCCACCCAAAAAAAUGAGAGAAAAAGAGAGAAGGGACAUUGUUACUAUGCUUUUUCCAGACUUGUGCUUCAAAGUAGCACCAUGAUCCUCAUGGUAGAGUCUCCUAUGUUGUCACUUUCAUAUACUUGUGGGAAUUUUUCAUUAUAGAACUUGGCUUGUAUAUUACAAUGAUGGGCUUCCUCAAAAUGCCCUAGGUCUUUGUGAGUAAGCGAGUUGGAUGCACACCCACUUAGUUUCUUUUGUUGAGCUUUCACACAUUUAUAGCUCUAGUGCAUCUGUUGCAUGGCAAUCCCUACUCACUCACGUUGAUAUCUAUUAAUGGGCAUCUCCAUAGGCCGUUGAUACGCCUAGUCAAUGUGAGACUUUCUCCUUUUUUGUCUUCUCCACACAACCUCCAUCAUCAUAUUCUAUUCCACCCAUAGUGCUAUAUCCAUGGCUUACGCUCAUGUAUUGCGUGAGAGUUGAAAACGCUGAAGCGCGUUAAAAAGUAUGAACCAAUUGCUUGGCUGAAACCGGGGUUAUGCAUGAUGGGAGUAUUUUGUGUGACAAAAAUGAAGCAUAGCCUAACUAUAUGAUUUUGUAGGGAUAAGCUUUCUUUGGCUACAUUAUUUUGAUAAGACAUGAUUACUUGUUAGUAUGCUUAAAGUAUUACUAUUUUUAUGUUAAUAUGAACUUUUAUUUUGAAUCAUUUGGAUCUGAACAUUCAUGCCACAAUAAAGAAAAUUACAUUGAGAAAUAUGCUAGGUAGCAUUCCACAUCAAAAAUUCUGUUUUUAUCAUUUACCUACUCGAGGACGAGCAGGAAUUAAGCUUGGGGAUGCUUGAUACGUCUCCAAGGUAUCUAUAAUUUUUUAUUGUUCCAUGCUAUAUAUUACCCGUUUUGGAUAUUUAUGGGUUUUACUAUACACUUGUAUAUCAUUUUUUGGACUAACCUAUUAACCGGAGGCCCAGCCCAAAUUGUUGUUUUUGCCUAUUUCAGUGUUUCGCAGAAAAGGAAUAUCAAACGGAGUCCAAACGGAAUGAAACCUUCGGGAGAGUUAUUUUUAAAACAAACGCAAUCCAGGAGACUUGGAGUGGAUGUCAAGAAAAAAACAAGGCGGCCAUGAGGCAGGGAGGCGCGCCCUAGGGGGGUGGGCGCGCCCCCCACCCUCGUGGGCCCCUCGUGGCUCCUCUGACCGACUUUCUUCGCCUAUAUAUAUCUACAUACCCUGAAAACAUCCAGGAGCACCACGAAACCCUAUUUCCACAACCGCAACCUUCUGUACCCGUGAGAUCCCAUCUUGGAGCUUUUUCCGGCGCUCCGCCGGAGGGGGAAUCGAUCACGGGGGGCUUCUACAUCAACACCAUAGCCUCUCCGAUGAGUUGUGAGUAGUUUAUCACAGACCUUCGGGUCCAUAGUUAUUAGCUAGAUGGCUUCUUCUCUCUCUUGAAUCUCAAUACAAAGUUCUCCUCGAUCUUCUUGGAGAUCUAUUCGAUGUAAUUCUUUUUGCGAUGUGUUUGUGGAGAUCCAUGAAUUGUGGGUUUAUGAUCAAGUUUAUCCAUGAGAAAUAUUUGAAUCUCCUCUAAAUUCUUUUAUAUAUGAUUGGUUAUCUUUGCAAGUCUCUUCGAAUUAUCAGUUUGCUUUGGCCUACUAGAUUUAUCUUUUUUGCAAUGGGAGAAGUGCUUAGCUUUGGGUUCAAUCUUGCGGUGUCCUUUCCCAGUGACAGCAGGGGCAGCAAGGCACGUAUUGUAUUGUUGCCAUCGAGGAUAAAAAGAUGGGGUUUAUAUCAUAUUGCUUGAGUUUAUCCCUCUACAUUAUGUCAUCUUGCCUAAUGCGUUACUUUGUUCUUAUGAACUUAAUACUCUAGAUGCAUGCUGGAUAGCGGUCGAUAUGUGGAGUAAUAGUAGUAGAUGCAGGCAGCAAUCGGUCUACUUGUCGCGGACGUGAUGCCUAUAUACAUGAUCAUGCCUAGAUAUUCUCAUAACUAUGCACUUUUCUAUCAAUUGCUCGACAGUAAUUUGUUCACCACCGUAAUACGUAUGCUAUCUUGAGAGAAGCCACUAGUGAAACCUCUGGCCCACGGGUCUAUCUUUUAUCAUAUAAGCUUUCAAUCUACUUUUAUUUGCAUCUUUACUUUUCCAAUCUAUAUUAUAAAAAACCAAAAAUAUAUUUAUCUUAUCAUACUAUCUCUAUCAGAUCUCACUUUCGCAAGUGGCCGUGAAGGGAUUGACAACCCCUUUAGCGCAUUGGUUGCGAGGUUCUUGUUUGUUUGUGUAGGUACGAGGGACUUGCGCGUAGCCUCCUACUGGAUUAAUACCUUGGUUCUCAAAAGCUGAGGGAAAACUUACGCUACUUUGCUGCAUCACCCUUUCCUCUUCAAGGGAAAACCAACACAGGGCUCAAGUGGUAGCAAUGGGUUUUCCACUGAAUCUCACAUUCCAGGAUCCUAGCAUUUAUAGCAUGAAAUAUAAACUCUUAAUAAUGAACCUGGAAAUAUAAUAAUAUUAUAUUAUUGCCUCUAGGGCAUAUUUCCAAUAGUAUUCAACUUGCACUGAAGUCAAUAAUCUAGUUAGCACAUUUUUAUUUACACCAAUGGCAGUCUGGUGUUUGUCCAUACUCAGCUUGUGGUAUAGCCUUCAUCCCAUUGGAUCUUGAAAACUUCAUAUCCACGUGUAUCAUAUGCAUUUCAAUGCCUCUAUCAUGAUGGCUUUGUAUGUAUUGAAUCACUAGAAGGACCUAUGAUUCCUUGGACUGAGCUAUAGAACCACUAUUAAGUAUAGUGUUUCAUUGGCACAAUCAUCUAGAAAUCAUAACAAUCUCAUAAAUGAAAGUGUUAUUGAUCACUCUCCAUUGUUGCUUCUAAAGCAACAAUCUACUCAGCCCUCUGUUAUAGAUUUCACCACAGUAACCAACAACCCAACAAACACACUGCAAAAAACAUUACAUCGGAUAGAACUCCAAGAAGAUCGAGGAGAACAUUGUAUUGAAGAUCAAAGAGAGAAGAAGCCACUAGCUACUAGCUAUGGACUCGUAGGUCUGCGGUGAAUUGCUCACACAUCAUCGGAAGGCGGCACGGAUGAUGCAGAAGCCCUCAGUGAUCGAUUCCCCCUCCGGCGGAGUACCGGUAAAGCCCUCCAGAUGGAAUCGCGGAAGAAUAGAAGCUUGUGGUGGUGGAAAAAGUGUUUCGGAUGGCUCUCUGUUGGUUUGGGAAUAUUUGUGAAUUUAUAGGCUUGGAAUUAGGUCAAACGGAGUUGCGUGGGCCCAUAAGCUCAGGGGGCGCACUUUGUGAGCUCGUGGCUCUCUUGUAGCUCUUCUGGCCUCCUCCCGAACCUUCUAGGACCCCUUCUGGUCCAGAGAAAAUAACCAUAAUUCAUCGUAUUUGGACUUCGUUUGGUAUUGUUUUUCUGAAAAGCCAAAACAAGUAAAAAAUAGGAACUAGCACUGGGCAAUGGGUUAAUAGGUUAGUCCCAAAAGUGGUAUAAAAUAGCAUAAAAAUGCAUAUAAUCCAGGAUUGAUAAUAUAAUAGCAUGAAACAAUCAAAAGUUAUAGAUAUAUUGGAGACGUAUCAGCAUUCCCAAGCUUAAUUCCUGCUCGUCCUUGAGUAGGUAAAUGAGAAUAACAGAAUUUUUGUGUAUACAUGUAUUAUUUGUAGUGAGAUAUGUACAUGACAAAGAGCGAUACUACUGCCAGGAUCAGACCAAUGUACAUGACAUAAGAAAGAGGUGGCACAUCUCUGAAUGCAAGGUCCAUGGCAACAAGCAGACGCAAUGGAAAAGACAGAUUGUUUUGUCAUCUUUUGCAGCGCCAUCCUUUAGUAUGUCAGGGAGCAGCUAAGGAAUGAAAUCAUGCUCCAUUUUGGAUCAUAAGAUUUUAAUUUGACCAUAAGCUAAGCCUCCACCACACGAAAAGUGAUGAAAAUACAAAAUUUGUUAUGUGAUGCAAUACAAUGCAAAUCUUAUGUACUCCCUCUGUAAAGAAAUAUAAGAGCGUUUAGAUCAUUACUUUACACGUUACCAUCGUAAUCUCAAGCUUUGAAUUUAGUACUACUCAUUAAUCAAUUGUGUGAUCUUAAGAAAAUGCUAUACCUCUAAAAUGAACAACUAAAAGGUCAUGAGACACGUAGUGAUCUCCAAAUAAAUUGGUUGUUCUAGGGGAAAAGUGAUGAAAAGUGUUGUUCUAGGGGAAAAGUGAUGACAAGCAUGGAUUAUCUGUUUCGUCAUCUUGGGAGGGGGAGGGUCAUCCACAUGACCACAAGCCAAGCCCACACCCCACGUCAAGUGAUGCAAAUCCCAAUCAUGUCAUGUCAUGAUUUACAAUGCAAAUCUUCUUUAAAACUUUACACAUUGGCAUCACUAUCUUAAGCUUGGCAUUUGGUACUCCCUACGAUCCAUAUUUGUUGUCGCUCAAACGGAUGUAUCUAGCACUAAAAUACAUCUAGAUACAUCUGUUUCAGCGACAACUAAUAUGAAUCAAAGGGAAUACUACUAAUUAGUUGUGUGAUCUUAAUAAAACACCAUGCUUCUAAAAUGAACAGGUCACGAGGCGUGUACCAAUCUCCAGAUGAAUUUGAUGUUCUACAGAAUUCAUAUGUGCGGAAAGAUAAGACUGAAAACCGCACACUUACCCGGGAUAGGAUGGGAUAUUUUGAGAAAUAGAUAAGGAUUAGUUCAGGUUUCUCCCAUAUAUACGAAAUGACUGGACGAUGACUAAUUAAACGAGAGACAACAAACCACUUAUCUUCCUUUAUGACUCAAUUGAUCGAGAGCCUUCCCAAGUUGCUUUUGCGGUUUUGUUGGUCACAAUGCAGAUGCUUUGAACCUUUGCACAACCGUGGGCAUGUGGCUCCCGUUAAAUAGCCACAAGAUACCAUAAAAUUAGCACUUCCAAAGUUCCCAUUUACUCUCUCUUCCUCUCAAGUCUAACCAAAGCCCAACAAACCACCACCUCGGCCAUGGCAACCACCCUCGCCACCGACGUCCGCCUCUCCAUCGCGCACCAGACCCGCUUCGCCCUCCGUCUCGCCUCCACCAUCUCAUCCAACCCUAAGUCUGCUGCCAGCAAUGCCGCCUUCUCCCCGGUCUCCCUCUACUCCGCACUUAGCCUCCUCGCCGCUGGCGCGGGCAGUGCCACUCGGGACCAACUCGUCGCCACACUCGGGACAGGCAAGGUCGAGGGACUCCACGCGCUCGCCGAGCAGGUGGUCCAGUUUGUGCUCGCCGACGCGUCCUCCACUGGUGGUCCGCNNN